UGUUAUAUGGUAACGAAUGAGCAGAUUAAGUAGGCUGGCUUUUGUGAUGUCAUGCCGGAUUGACUGGAAAUGGUUAGUCCGUGCUCAGAUUUGUUUGGAGCAACACAUACAUUUUUUCGAAAUUAAAGCCUAAAUAGUAGAAAAAAAGUCUCUGUCUCUGUUCCUCAAUCCGGAAUAAGAAUCGUCGAAACGCAAUAAUAUAUUUGUGAAUCAUUAAAUAUGCAAAUCGUCAUUCUACAAAGGCACAUUAGCUAUAUAAUAAUAUUGGUAAUGCUCGAAUUAUUAAAGCAAAUACUGUCGAUGAAACGAGAUUUAUCAAACAUUUACGUUCAGAAGCUAGAUGACGCCCGUAAAACUAAAGAAGAACUAGAAGUAGUCAGGAAAUCAUCAUAACCAUACCAGUAUAUAUGUAUGUACAUAUGUACAUAUUUAUGCAUGUAUAUUAUUCAAGUAACAAUCCAGAUACUCACGAGUAAUUAUAAUUACUAAAAAUAAUCCAAAAAGUGUACCCCAAACAUCCCCCACCCGCACAGUCUAAGAAGGAAAAGGAUAUUUUAGGUAAAAAAAAUGUGUGGCCUUAAUGUGAUACUGCCCGAAGACGUCGCCAAAAUAGCUAAAGGCGCGUAAUUGACUGAUUGACUUCAUUUUAACGAGAUUAAACAGCAAGUUCUCGAAACUGACGUCUAGACCGUGAGGAAAAUCCCUUUGGUUCCCAACCGAGUCAGUGCAACUGGGAAGCUUUUUAAAAGUUGCAGUUCUCCGGAAAUUACGCAUUUUAGAUUUAAAGCAAAUUUAAUUUCAUUUGAACGCGCAAUUAAAUGAAAAGUGGAGGUCAGCGACAGGGGCAACGACAGGCGACGGAGAACCUGAAGUCUAAAACGUUUAAGCUACUUAGAGUCACUUUGCUUUCCAGUGGCAUUAAACACAAAUAAAUAGUUACAAAGUGCAGUCGUGUAGAUGAAGAUGCGGUCACCGUCGAGACACCGUCAGACAUAGCAGACCCAAACUCCUCAGAGUAAAGCCACCGGCAAAGAGACUGGAAAUUGCAGCAGUGUUCACACCUUGCGGCACGUAGUCGCUGCCUUAGCGCCACUUCAUUUGACCUGUCACUUUAAACGCCUUUAAAUAUGCGAUGGAGUAACAGUAAAGUUGACUAGCUUGCACCACUUUAUGGCUCGCUUUCCAUUAUAUGUCGCGGUUGUUAGCAAUGAUGUUUUUCCUUUGCGCCUGCUUAACUUUAAAGAAACCGCCUGAGACACUAUUGUCUAAUUACCCCAGGACCAACACAGCGGCGCAGGCAGGCAACCGGCAACCGUCGUCUAUAAAGAGGUAAAAUACGACAUCAUAGCAGAGGUUGACGUUGCCGUAGCCGUAGCCGAGUUCCGUUCCCUGCCUCUGUCGCUAUGCCGCCGUUAUCGUGGAAGGGCGCAAACUGGUUUAUAAUUAAAGCGUAUUUGAUUUCUUUUACAGUAUUUUUACACAAAACAAAAUAUAAAAAAGAUGCGAAAAAUACAAAAAAAAAAAACAGAAGGCAAUUGUAAAGUUGCAAUCAGCUGUCUUCCGUCACAAACGGGCUGGAUUCAGGCACGGGCGCGGGCGCUGCCUCGAAAAGCACUCAAAGUUUAUUUAAUUAUCUUUGUCAUUGGCAUUUGCAUUUGCAUUUGGAAAUGGGUGCUGCCAGCUUUAAAAAAUAUUUGCCGAACGCAGGAUACACGGAUACGAAUACGAGUACGAACUUGCAAGUCCAUAAGAUAGGGACAGCGCCAACGCUGAGUGGUGAGAGGGAGACAGUGACAGUGACCCAUGGCAGUAGCAGUAGACGACUGAGUGCCGAUGAAAUUAUGAGUCUGGGGCUCGGAGUGGGGCUGGCGGCCGGAUUUAAUUAAUCAAGAACGAGCACUAAGCAUUUUUCAUCAGCUUUGUAAUUACAAUUAGAAUGAAGAAGAUCAACAAAAAAUAAGCACAUAAUAAGAAAAAGAAUAAAUUGUGAUAUAAAAAAGUAUGGGAUUGGAUGGGAUGGAAUGCAAUAGAUGAAAACAAAAAAACGGCUUUACGAUUUUGUGUUCACUACGAUGAUUCCUUACUUGUCCUUUUUUUUACGACUUGAACAUAUGUACAUACACACAUACUAUACAUACAUAUGUCAA
rnacentral:misc_RNA from 1 species